rnacentral:ncRNA from 1 species
CCUGCUAUUCCAUUAGCAGUAGCCCAACGCCACCAAAGCAUCUGGUAACGGAUGUGAGGAAGCUGACGUGCAAAGUAGCCCCGCCCUAAAGGGUUUAAGUUGAAGCCGUGAGGUGAAAACGAUAAGCUGCAAGCAAUAUGCGGCUGGGGA